GGUGAACGCUAGCUACAGGCUUAACACAUGCAAGUCGCGGGGCAGCAUGGUGGGUGCUUGCUAUCCCCGAUGGCGACCGGCGCACGGGUGAGUAACGCGUAUCCAACCUGCCCUUCACCACGGGAUAACCCGGCGAAAGUAGGACUAAUACCGAAUGUUGUCCAUUGACAGCAUCCGAUUUGUUCGAAAGUCGCGCGAGUGAGUGAGGCGGCGUCGGAUGAGUAAGCAGGCGGGGGGACGGCGCCCCAUGGCGGCGACGGGUGGGGGGUCUGAGAGGAAGAUACCCUACACUUGAGCCGAGACACGGACCAGACUGCUACGGGAGGCAGCGGUGAGGAAGAUUGGUCAAUGGGCGUAAGUCUGAACCAGCCAAGUAGCGUGCAGGAUGACGGGCGUAUGGGUUGUAAACUGCUUUUAUGCGGGGAUAAAGUGGCCAACGUGUGGGCUUUUGCAGGUACCGAAUGAAUAAGGACCGGCUAAUUCCGUG
rnacentral:rRNA from 1 species